rnacentral:snRNA from 1 species
GCAUGUGAGGCCAGUCUGGCUUCAACAUCUGUCAUCCCAUUCAUCACCCUUGCUGAUCUGGCCCAUCCCCCUUAUCAUCUCAUGUGUAUUCUUCCCAACAAUGUGUACUUGGUCAUAGAAUAGCCUCUUUGAUAGAGCAGGACUGGUCUUAAGUCAAGGGUGCAUAAGUAGCUGAGCUUCCCAGAUACAAGGUUCAAACGGGCUCUUAAAGACCAAAUACAUAAGCAGCCACAGAUGCCCAUUCAAAGAGCUCCGAAGGCUAGCGCACAAACAAAGCAGUAAUUGUUAAAUAAAAAAGUGUUC